rnacentral:rRNA from 1 species
UACGUAGGUGGCAAGCGUUAUCCGGAUUUAUUGGGCGUAAAGGGAACGCAGGCGGUCUUUUAAGUCUGAUGUGAAAGCCUUCGGCUUAACCGGAGUAGUGCAUUGGAAACUGGGUGCCUUGAGUGGGCGAGAAGUAUGCGGAAUGCGUGGUGUAGCGGUGAAAUGCAUAGAUAUCACGCAGAACCCCGAUUGCGAAGGCAGCAUACCGGCGCCCGACUGACGCUGAGGCACGAAAGUGCGGGUAUCGAACAGG